CCUACGUGGCGCUGCAGUGAGGAAUAUUGGUCAAUGGGCGCGAGCCUGAACCAGCCAAGUAGCGUGAAGGAUGACUGCCCUACGGGUUGUAAACUUCUUUUAUAAAGGAAUCAAGUGAGGCACGUGUGCCUUUUUGUAUGUACUUUAUGAAUAAGGAUCGGCUAACUCCGUGCCAGCAGCCGCGGUAAUACGGAGGAUCCGAGCGUUAUCCGGAUUUUUUGGGUUUAAAGGGAGCGUAGAUGGGUUGUUAAGUCAGUUGUGAAAGUUUGCGGCUCAACCGUAAAAUUGCAAUUGAUACUGGCAGUCUUGAGUACAGUUGAGGUAGGCGGAAUUCGUGGUGUAGCGGUGAAAUACUUAGAUAUCACGAAGAACUCCGAUUGCGAAGGCAGCUUACUAAACUGCCACUGACAUUGAUGCUCGAAAGUGUGGGUAUCAAACAGGAUUAGAUACCCUAGUAGUC
rnacentral:rRNA from 1 species